CGGCCUGAGGUCGGACGAGGCUACCCGCUGAAUUUAAGCAUAUUACUAAGCGGAGGAAAAGAAACUAACGAGGAUUCCCUCAGUAACGGCGAGUGAAGCGGGACGAGCCCAGCGCCGAAUCCCGCCGCUUAUGGAGCGGACGGAAUUGUGGCGUAUGGA
rnacentral:ncRNA from 1 species